AAUGGCCCACCAAGGCGACGAUCAGUAGCCGGCCUGAGAGGGUGAUCGGCCACACUGGAACUGAGACACGGUCCAGACUCCUACGGGAGGCAGCAGUGGGGAAUAUUGGACAAUGGGGGAAACCCUGAUCCAGCAACGCCGCGUGGAGGAUGAAGGUCUUCGGAUUGUAAACUCCUGUUAGGGGGGACGAAGGGAUGUCGGUGAAUAGCCGGCAAGCUUGACGGUACCCCCAGAGGAAGCCCCGGCUAACUCUGUGCCAGCAGCCGCGGUAAUACAGAGGGGGCAAGCGUUAUUCGGAAUUAUUGGGCGUAAAGGGCGCGUAGGCGGCCUUGUAAGUCUUGGGUGAAAUCCCUCAGCUCAACUGAGGAACUGCCUCGGAAACUGCAAGGCUUGAGGCCGGGAGAGGGUAGUGGAAUUCCCAGUGUAGCGGUGAAAUGCGUAGAUAUUGGGAGGAACACCGGUGGCGAAGGCGGCUACCUGGACCGGUUCUGACGCUGAUGCGCGAAAGCGUGGGUAGCAAACAGGAUUAGAUACCCUGGUAGUCCACGCUGUAAACGAUGGGUGCUCGGUGUCGCGGGUAUCGACCCCUGCGGUGCCUUAGUUAACACGUUAAGCACCCCGCCUGGGGAGUACGGUCGCAAGGCUGAAACUCAAAGGAAUUGACGG
rnacentral:rRNA from 1 species